CUGGAACCGGUCUGAGACUGCGCCGGGCUUGCGAGUAUGGUUUUAAGGGCUUGGCGGGAACGUGCGUGAGGCUGCAGCUUCUUGCUCGGGAUGAGAAAAUUAUGGCUCAGAAAGGCACAGCUUGUCUGCAUUUAAACAGCUAGUUGACAGAUUGGCUGGGACUUCGUUUUUGUCGUCAAAGUCAGUGCUCUUUAAGAAUGGGACAUUCUGAAUAGGACAUUGGAGAAGAAGAUGAGAAAAGUAUCUCGCAACCCACUGAAUACAGCCAUUACCACUGAGAACUUCGUCUAAUCCAUCCGAUUUUCUGAACUCCUCUGUUUCUUAUGCUGCUAGUCUUCAAGAGAUCCAUUCAUUGUAAGUUCCAAAGACUUUAGACUCUUUUCUCAACUGGUUUGUAUAUUGGUCUCAAUCUAGACACAGAUCAAUUUCGAAAAACCAAGACAUAAAAAUAAUUAAAGUAUCUGAUGUGAGCCAGAACUAGAGGUUGUGUCACACACAGACCUUGCUACCCUUCUGGAGGUCGGACCAAGCCCCUGAAAACUCUGUGUUUAAUGCGUUCUCACCCCAACCUCAACACCAAACCAUGCUGCUUAGUUUAUAAUCCAGUCAUGUGUGGUAGUGGGCUAUGGCCAGUGACUUGAUUUCGUUUGCAUUUUAGA